ensembl:rRNA 5S_rRNA 5S ribosomal RNA
GUCUAUGACCAUACCACCCUGAAUGUUGGAAGCUAAGCAGGAUUGGGCCUGGGUAGUACUUGAUGUUCAUGGCCAUACCACCGUGAGUGUACCUGAUAUUGAAAGCUAAGUAGGCUUGGGCC